rnacentral:rRNA from 1 species
GACAGAGGGUGCAACCGUUGUUCGGAAUUACUGGGCGUAAAGCGCGUGUAGGCCGCUUCGCAAGUCGGAUGUGAAAGCCCUGGGCUCAACCUAGGAAGUGCAUUCGAAACUGCAAAGCUUGAGUUCUGGAGAGGAAGGCGGAAUUCUCGGUGUAGAGGUGAAAUUCGUAGAUAUCGGGAGGAACACCGGUGGCGAAGGCGGCCUUCUGGACAGCAACUGACGCUGAGACGCGAAAGCGUGGGGAGCAAACAGG